GGUGGCGGAAUGAUUGCUGAUGUGAUCCUCUGGAGGAAGAAGAAUGUAACCGUGGGAAUUCUCAUUGGUGUACUUGCGUCUUGGAUCAUCUUUGAGGUAGCUGGAUAUACCCUUCUGUCGCUUGUCUCAAAUGUUCUGCUUCUCUUAAUCUCCAUCCUUUUUGUGUGGGCAAAGGCUGCCGAAGUUCUCAACAGAUACACAGUGGUAGGUG